rnacentral:rRNA from 1 species
AACGAACGCUGGCGGCAGGCCUAACACAUGCAAGUCGAGCGCCCCGCAAGGGGAGCGGCAGACGGGUGAGUAACGCGUGGGAAUCUACCCAUCUCUACGGAAUAACGCAUGGAAACGUGUGCUAAUACCGUAUACGUCCUUCGGGAGAAAGAUUUAUCGGAGAUGGAUGAGCCCGCGUUGGAUUAGCUAGCUGGUGGGGUAAAGGCCUACCAAGGCGACGAUCCAUAGCUGGUCUGAGAGGAUGAUCAGCCACACUGGGACUGAGACACGGCCCAGACUCCUACGGGAGGCAGCAGUGGGGAAUAUUGGACAAUGGGCGCAAGCCUGAUCCAGCCAUGCCGCGUGAGUGAUGAAGGCCCUAGGGUUGUAAAGCUCUUUCACCGGUGAAGAUAAUGACGGUAACCGGAGAAGAAGCCCCGGCUAACUUCGUGCCAGAAGCCGCGGUAAUAC